UUUUUUUUUUGAACUGUCAAAUACAGUUUUUAUUUACUAUGAUGAAAUUCUAUUGUUUUAUAACCCAAAUUUGUGUUGACACAUGCGUUGUGGAUAUAUAUGUCAUUAUGAAACAUAUUGAAGUACAAUGGAGUAUAUUGAAGUAUAAUGAAGUAUAAUAAAGUAUAUUAGAGUAAAUAUUAAGGAUUUUUAAGAAUUCAAGCAAUGUGGGCCGCAAGCGAAAACACCCAGUACAAGUCAUGCAGUGGAAUUUAUGUCGUGGCAUUAAUUGGCUUCCCUAUAAACAUAUUGCACUAUACCGGCAAUCCGUGAUUCAGAUUAUUCGCCAUUUAUUCGUUUUGUUGCCGCCUUGCCGCCAGGCAAAAAAUCUGGUUCCGCCGCAAAUCUCAAUUGGAAUGGCUUAGUAAGUGGUAACUCAUUAUCCUCGCACUUCUCGCCGUCGACUUUACAGAAGGCCAGUUUUUAGUACACAUUUUCGUUUGUAUCAGUAUUUAUCAUCUUGAAGUUUUCUUCAACGCAAUAUAAAAGCAAUUAAAAUGAAAUUUCACUGCUGUAGCUACUGCUCAAACCCCCGAUCGCUUUGUAAUUAAAAUUGAAUUAAAAAAUAUGUAUUUUAUCUUUAUUAUGGUAACAGGCUGUAGCAAACGAAUGAAGGCGAUAGCUGGCGAAUACCAUAAAAUAAGCUACGAAUAUAUUCGGUCCAUCUACGAAAUAAAUUUUGGGAUUUGGUUCGGUGGUUGGUUGUGGUGAACUGGUGGCUAGAACGGUGGAUGCAGACUUUCAAUUGAGGAUUAAGUAAUGAAUAGCGAAAAGGCAGUCGGGAGGGUAGAAUGUACGCCACAAUGUAUCGAAAAAAUAUUCGUGAAUGUAUCACGCAAAUGCAAAACAAGCUUCAAGUUGCAUAUUUAAUUGCAAUAACACAUCUUUCAUAUCUCUCAAGACUCGUUUGGUGUGAUUAUUUCACAGGUGAUUGACUCUUUAAAUUUUUAUAUACGAAUGCACCUUUUAUAAGCGAAUUUUUAUUUUCGAAAUACAC